GACGUAGGAGGCGAGCGUUGUCCGGAUUCAUUGGGCGUAAAGAGCGCGCAGGCGGCUUGGUAAGUCGGAUGUGAAAUCCCGAGGCUCAACCUCGGGUCUGCAGUCGAUACGAGCAAACUAGAGUGUUGCAGGGGAGACUGGAAUUCCUGGUGUAGCGGUGAAAUGCGCAGAUAUCAGGAGGAACACCGGUGGCGAAGGCGGCUCUCUGGGGCCUACCUGACGCUGAGGAGCGAAAGCGUGGGUAGCGAACAGG
rnacentral:rRNA from 1 species